CACGUAGGGCGCAAGCGUUGUCCGGAAUUAUUGGGCGUAAAGAGCUCGUAGGCGGUCUGUUGCGUCCGCUGUGAAAACUCAGGGCUUAACCCUGAGCCUGCUUCCGAUACGGGCAGACUAGAGGUAUGCAGGGGAGAACGGAAUUCCUGGUGUAGCGGUGAAAUGCGCAGAUAUCAGGAGGAACACCGGUGGCGAAGGCGGAUCUCUGGGCCAUAACUGACGCUGAGGAGCGAAAGCAUGGGGAGCGAACAGG
rnacentral:rRNA from 1 species